UUUCUAACAAAAGGCGCAGCUGAUGACUAAUGAUGGUCUAUUUGCCAAGUUGCUCAGACUGAAAUAACUCUUAAUAGCUGUAUCGUUCCUGUAAGUGAAAUUAGAGCACAUCGCUGUCCUGAUUGGAGGUGGUUGCGGUGUAUGAGCUGCUGGUGCCUGCAGGCAGUCAUCGGUUGCCCUGGAAACACAGAUGGUGGAUAAAGAAGGGGGCACAUACAAAAGACCAUAAAACCUGUGGCAGCAGCUGGAGACCGAGACAGACGAUUACUUCAGAAUUCUGCAGCCCCCGCUCAUUCAAAGAAGCCCCUGUUCUCAUUAAAACCUGCAGUUGGUUUUCUUUUUGUCCCGGGUUUCUGCCUCCACUCUACCUUGCUUUUCCUGGACUGGAUGCUCUCUCUUUAGUGCGCAGCUGCUGCUGGCACACCCACAUCUGCUUGUUUCAGCUCGGCAGCCAUGUACGUUUCAGCCGUUUUAACAGCCUUGUGUCCGAGCUUUAUAAAUACUGCAGGGGAAAAAUCACUGCAAUCCUCUGGCAGAUCAGCACGUAAAGAGAAGAGGAACCCAAAAAAGGCUGCUGAGGAAAUCUCCACCUUAUAUGAUUCUGCAGGACAGCUGGAAACCUGAAGAGCUCUGGAAAACCUGUGGUCAGUGUUGCAAGGGCUGGGCUCAUCUGACACGACACCAUUCAGGAUGCUGGAGGAUCCCAGGAGCAGGACAGGUUAUGUGUCAUCUCUGUUAAAACCAGCUAAGAAUUUCUCAUAUUUGAUCGGUCAGGUUAUUUUCACAUCUUUGUCGACAUUCUCCAGCUGUCCUGCUCGAUUUGGAUAUGAUGAAACAAUUUACAGAGAAGCUGUAAAUUGCUUGAAGAGGCAUAGCCGGAUCCCUCGGGGCUUCUUGGUAGGACAGUUGGGUUGUGUCCCACUUUUCUGCUGCUUUGUGUUCUGUGUUCCUCUCCAGUUCCACCGAUGAAACAGCAGACGGGGUGGUGAUGGGACCUUAUUGUACCCCUGCUGGCACUGCUCCAUCUCCAGACUGACACAGGAUCAGUCAGCUCUACAGUACUGAGACUUUUUUACUUCCCUCUCAUCUACUUUAAACCUCAGUCUGUGGCUUUCUGCACACAGAACACAUUCUUCUGGACUUCCAUGUUUGACUGCAGCCUCUGGGCUGUUUGCGAGAUGAAUCAGAGAUUAGUAAUGUGUUAAUGUGCUGCUGUCCUCUUUAGGAUUACCGGGGAGAUAAACGGCAUCAAAGUGCAGAUCGUGACCAAAUCCAAGUGUCAUAAUCUGCUUCUAAAAUGAAUUUAUUUAACAUUUUGUAGGAUUAUGCUUGAAAAUGGAUAUCUGUGCAUUUUUCUUCUUUAUUUCAUCUGAACCCUUUCUCUUGCAGUCACGGACAUUCCUGCUGUUCUGCACCUUCGGAGGGAAAAUGUCCACGCUGCAGCUGUUCCUCUCCGAGAACCAGUGUUUACUUCUUCAGUGCACCAACGAAAGUGAUAAUAAGACUCUGUUUAAUCAGAUUUAGUGUUUGUGUGGGUCGUGCACAUCUCUAAGGUGCCUUUAUUCUCCAGUCACUUUUUCUUCGAGUCUGGUCUCUUUUUUUUCUGCACAAGAUGUAAUUCACUAUAUGAGGCGCUUUACCAGUGUCAUUCUGGGAGUCUCUCCAUUAAAACUGACAUGCAAAGCUGUUAUAUUUUAGGCCUAAAGGGAUGAAAACAUGAUGUGCUAGAGUGAGUGAAAGGCUGGUUUUCUCACCUUCAAAAAACGUGCAAUUCACAUGUUUAAUUUUUUUUAACUUGUUUGUUGUGAAACCGGUAAAGUUUGAUGUGUAACAAACUAAUUUAACUUCACAUUCUGUAGUGUGUGUGUGUGUGUGUGUGUGUGUGUGUGUGUGUGUGGGGGGGGGGGUGCAUGCAAUCCUUUGCAUGUGCUCUAUCUGUAGAUGUGUUUACACCAGCCAGCGUGUGCAUGUGUCUCCUGUAAUGGGCCUGAAGCUGGAGCCACGAGUGGUUCUAGUCCCUGGAUGUUCCAGAGAAAAGGGAUAAAACAUUAUUUACUGAUGGUUCUUAGCAUUUGUUACAGCCUCGUUAAAGCAGCAGUGGCACUUGUGAUUUAGAUCAGUGGGAAUUAGUGUGGUGCCGUUUGCUGAAUGAUGCCUGCUGGCAUAAACCAAACACUCUCGCCGCCAGCAGCUCCAUCAUUUAACACUUAAGCAAAUUGCAGCAAAUGCUAAUAAUUAUGUGUAAAUAGCCUUUUAUCCAGGUCUGGACUGCACUAACAGUAUCUAACUAAUAUCUAACAGUACUAAUGUCUGCUAACGUUUGGGAUAUUACUAACCUGUGUGGAGAAUGCUGAUGGCUCGUGUUUCUAACCCACUUACUAACCCCCUGCUUUACGCCACCAGUCUGAGGCGCUCGCUCCUCUCACUCCAUCCUGCAAUCCUUCUUUAAAGGUGUCCGAAUCAGAACAGUCGCUCAAGGAAACGUAUUUUAAAUCAUAAUAGUAAAUGAGCAUGUGAGGAAGGCUUUCAGGAGCUGGAGGAGACCAGAGGAUAAAAAGAGCCACACGUUAGAGAAGUGUGUUUAGUGUGGUCAGCCUCUUGUCAGCGAGCAUUACACCAACCUCAGCUCCACUACUAACACGAGUAAUGUUGAUGCUAACGACGACGAGGCGGCGACACUCCUCCUACUAACACCUUUGUUGUUUCACCGAGACAGAUCCGAGCAUGCCUCAUGGUCCUGCUGAUGUGUUCUAGUCCCCGUCACGUGGAAGCUUUUAACCCUGGCCAAAACAUCUGGUCUCUGCACCAACCCUCACUAACCCCAGGAGCUCUGGAAGCUCUGGAAACUAACAAACUAACCCACUAAUAAACUAAUCUUCUAACAGAAACUAACUCAGACCGGCGAAUCUUCCUUGAAUUGGGGUUUGAAGAGAUAACUGAGUGUGUUUGAGGUGUGUGGGCGUGUGUGUGUGUGUGUGUUUAUGCAGACACAGCAGGAAGAGAUUGUUGGAGAUUAGCUGGAGCCUCCAGGCCCGGAGACAUGCUUAGAGGAGUGCAGGACUAGAAGAAAAAGAUGAAAAAAGGGAGGAUAGGAAAUGGGAAAUAAAAACAAUCAGGUGUUCAGGACAGGGUGGGUGGGGGCUAGAAGAUUAGCUUAGCUCAUCAGGUGAAGCUGGCUUCAGCUGACAUGUAAGAAACAACCAGUGACAUGUUUAUUUAUUUAUUUUUUUUUACAUUUUUUUGGAAAACAAGCGUUCCAGGUUGUGUUUGUUCAUACGACUGGAGGAAAGAUGGCAGCCAUCCAUCUAGUCAAGGAGCCACCAGAGCUUGUGUGACAUAUGUGUGUUCAGAAUCCUGGAUGUUGUGUAAAAUUUUCUAAACUUUAUUCUUUUUUGUUAGGAGCUGUUCUCAGAAAUAAAAUUAUUUUUUGUGUCA